rnacentral:rRNA from 1 species
CCCGACUCCAUGAAGCUGGAUUCGCUAGUAAUCGCGCAUCAGCCACGGCGCGGUGAAUACGUUCCCGGGCCUUGUACACACCGCCCGUCAAGCCAUGGGAGCCGGGGGUGCCUGAAGGCCGUGACCGCGAGGAGCGGCCUAGGGUAAAACUGGUGACUGGGGCUAAGUCGUAACAAGGUACC